UCCGACGGUGAGGGAUGAAGCUGGGGGCGCAAACCGGAUUAGAUACCCGGGUAGUCCCAGCAGUAAACGAUGCCAGCUAUGUGUUGCUGGAACCAUGGGUUCCAGCAGUGCCGAAGGGAAGCCGUGAAGCUGGCCACCUGGUGAAGUACGGUCGCAAGGCUGAAACUUAAAGGAAUUGGCGGGGAGAGUACCACAACCGGUGGAGCCUGCAGGUUUAAUUAGAUACAACGCCGGGAAUCUUACCGGAGGGGACAGCAGUAUGAAGGCCAGGCUAAAGACCUUGCCAGAUCAGCUGAGAGGAGGUGCAUGGCCGUCGCCAGUUCGUACCGUGAGGCAUCCUGUUUAGUCAGGCAACGAUCGAGACCCGCAGUCUUAUUUGCCAGCAUGCCCUUUGGGGUGUAUGGGUACAAGUAAGACGACCGCCAGCGGCUAAGACUGGAGGACAGGAGCGGGCUACGGUAGGUCAGCAUGCCCCGAAAUCCUCACGGGAUACACGCAGGGCUACAAUUGGUCAGGACAAAAGGUACCGAGCCUCGAAAGAG
rnacentral:rRNA from 1 species